CCUACGGGUGGCUGCAGUGGGGAAUAUUGGACAAUGGGCGAAAGCCUGAUCCAGCCAUGCCGCGUGUGUGAAGAAGGCCUUCGGGUUGUAAAGCACUUUCAGUGGGGAAGAAAGCCUUGGGGCUAAUACCCUCGAGGAAGGACAUCACCCACAGAAGAAGCACCGGCUAAACUCCGUGCCAGCAGCCGCGGUAAUACGGAGGGUGCGAGCGUUAAUCGGAAUUACUGGGCGUAAAGCGCGCGUAGGCGGUCUGAUAAGCCGGUUGUGAAAGCCCCGGGCUCAACCUGGGAACGGCAUCCGGAACUGUCAGGCUAGAGUGCAGGAGAGGAAGGUAGAAUUCCCGGUGUAGCGGUGAAAUGCGUAGAGAUCGGGAGGAAUACCAGUGGCGAAGGCGGCCUUCUGGACUGACACUGACGCUGAGGUGCGAAAGCGUGGGUAGCAAACAGGAUUAGAUACCCGGGUAGUC
rnacentral:rRNA from 1 species